rnacentral:rRNA from 1 species
GUCCACGCAGUAAACGAUGAAUACUAACUGUAUGCGAUAUACUGUAUGUGGUAAAGCGAAAGCGUUAAGUAUUCCACCUGGGGAGUACGUUCGCAAGAAUGAAACUCAAAGGAAUUGACGGGGGCCCGCACAAGCGGAGGAACAUGUGGUUUAAUUCGAUGAUACGCGAGGAACCUUACCCGGGCUUGAAAUGCAUCUGACCGGCUUGGAAACGAGUCUUCUAGCAAUAGCAGAUGUGUAGGUGCUGCAUGGUUGUCGU